rnacentral:misc_RNA from 1 species
UUUCCGUAGGUGAACCUGCGGAAGGAUCAUUGUUGAAUAAUCGAGGUGCAAGGGCUGUCGCUGACCCGAAAGGUCGUGCACGCAGUAUUGCUCUCUCACACAUACAUCUUACCCCUCUUUGCACCACCGCGUGCGUCUUCCUCUGGCUUGUUCGGUGGGGGGCUUACGUUUUUACCUUAUCUUAGUAUGCAGUGUAGAUUGUAUUUUUUGCUGUUGCCAUCACUCUAUCACAACAACAUUCAACAACGGAUCACUUGUCUCCUGCAUCGUUGAAGAACG